rnacentral:misc_RNA from 1 species
GAUGAAGAACGUAGUGAAAUGCGAUAAGUAGUGUGAAUUGCAGAAUUCAGUGAAUCAUCGAAUCUUUGAACGCACAUUGCGCCCCUUGGUAUUCCAUGGGGCAUGCCUGUUCGAGCGUCAUCUACACCCUCAAGCUCUGCUUGGUGUUGGGCGUCUGUCCCGCCUCUGCGCGCGGACUCGCCCCAAAUUCAUUGGCAGCGGUCCUUGCCUCCUCUCGCGCAGCACAUUGCGCUUCUCGAGGUGCGCGGCCCGCGUCCACGAAGCAACAUUACCGUCUUUGACCUCGGAUCAGGUAGGGAUACCCGCUGAACUUAAGCAUAUCAAUAAGCGGAGGA